UAUCUUUGAGCCUUGGUCAAACCCUUGUUCCUUUCCACCAAGUCAUGAAAAUAGGAAGUUACUACUUAGGCCCUAAGGCCCUCCAUCCCCACAGGUCUGCUUUCUUCUUUCUGUUUACUUGAAAGUGUGGGUGCCUGUCUUGAGUUGAUGAGAAUCUGCUUUAGUUCUGAAGCUUUUUGAGUAUUAUAUAAAGGUAGGGCCUUUUUAGAAAAAUUGGUUUUUCAGAAGUAAUUGGUAACCUGAAUUCUCACCAUGCAUUUUUUUUUUUUUUAAGAUUUUAUUUAUUUGACAGAGAAAGAGAGCACAAGCAGUGGGGGAGCGGCAGGCAGAGGGAGAGGGAGAAGCAGGCUCCCUGUUCAGCAGGGAGCCCAAUGUGGGCUUGAUCCCAGAACCCUGGGAUCAUGACCUGAGCCAAAGGCAGUUGCUUAACCAACUAAGACACCCAGGCGCCCCCAUUUUUUUUUUUAAUUUAAAUUGAAUUAACAUAUGAUGUAUUACUAGUUUCAGAGGUAGAGUUCAGUGAUUCAUUAGUCGUAUAUAAUACCCAGUGCUCCUUACAUCAUGUGCCCUCCUUAAUAUCCAUCACCCAGUUACUCCAUCCCCCCCCACCCCCAAGCAACCCUCAGUUUGUUUCCUGUGAUAAAGAGUCUCAUGGUUUGUUUCCCUCUCUGAUUUGGUCUUGUUUUAUUUUUCCCUCUCGUCCCCUAUGAUCCUGUUUUGUUUCUUAAAUUCCACAUAUGAGUGAGAUCAUAUGAUAAUUGUCUUUCUCUGAUUAACUUAUUUUGGUUAGCACAAUACACUCUAGUUCCCCAUCCACGUCGUUGCAAAUGCAAGAUUUUUUUUUUUUUGAUGGCUGAGUAGUAUUCCAUUGUGUAUGUGUGUGUGUAUAUAUAUAUAUAUAUAUACGCAUACAUAUACCACACCUUCUUCAUCCAUCUAUUGAUGGACGUCUGGGCUCUUUCCAUACUUUGUCUAUUGUGGACUUUGCUGCUAUAAACGUUGGGGUGCAGGUGCCCCUUCUGAUCACUACAUUUGGAUCUUUGAAGUAAAUACCCAGUAGUGCAAUUGCUGGGUCAUAGGGUAGCUCUAUUUUCAGUUUUUUGAGGAACCUCCAUACUGUUUUCCAGAGUGUCUGGACCAGCUUGCAUUCCCACCAACAGUGAAGGAGGGUUCCCCUUUUUCUGCAUCCCUGCCAACAUCUGUCGUUUUCCUGACUUGUUCAUUUUAGCCAUCCUGACUGGUGUAAGGUGGUAUCUCACAGAGGUUUUGAUUUGGAUUUCCCUGAUGCCGAGUGAUGUUGAGCACUUUUUCAUGUGUCUGUUGGCCAUUUGGAUGUGGUCUUUGCAGAAAUGUCUGUUCAUGUCCUCUGCCCAUUUCUUGACUGGAUUAUUUGUUCUUUGGGUGUUGAGUUUGCCCAGUUCUUUAUAGAUUUUGGAUACUAGCCCUUUACCUGAUAAGUCAUUUGCAAAUAUCUUCUCCCAUCUGUCGGUUGUCUUUUGGUUUUGUCGACUGUUUCCUUUGCUCUGCAAAAGCUUUUUGUCUUGACGAAGUCCCAAUAGUUCAUUUUUGCCUUUGUUUCCCUUGCCUUUGGAGACCUGUCUAGCAAGAAGUUGCUGUGGUCAAGGUCAAAGAGGUUGCUGCCUGUGUUCUCCUCUAAGAUUUUGAUGGAUUCCUGUCUCACAUUUAGGUCUUUCAUCCAUUUUGAGUCUAUUUUUGUGUAUGGUGUAAGGAAGUGGUCCAGUUUCAUUCUUCCGCAUGUGG